rnacentral:lncRNA from 1 species
CUCCCAGCGUGAGCGACGCAGAAGACGGGUGAUUUCUGCAUUUCCAUCUGAGAAGCUGAAACUGAGGUUCAAUGAGGUAAAUUGAUUCAUCCAAGCUCACAGGCUUGUAAGCAGCAAAGGUAGAAUUUAAAUCCAAGUCACUUUGACUCCAAAGCCAAUGGAAUGUUUCUUCCACUACUCUUUAUCACCUGUGCAGGACAUGCUCCACUGUUGGACCUGAGGCAAAUUUUUGUGGAAUAUCAAUAAUUUUGGAUGAUAACAGAGAAAAAUGACACCGAACCACGUGCACUUGCCAGAGAUGGACUCCAACUGGAGGCCAGAAAGCAGAAGAGCCUGGAAAUGCCAUCUAUGAAGGUCGGCCUCUGAGCAGCCCAGAGAAAAGCAGAAAUGAGACUGGGGCAGCCAAGAGUGAAUAACCAGCACGGUAGCUGACGCAGUGCGGUACACAAAGGGCGCGCUUCCAGUAAGACCUCAAGGCCCAUGUGCUGCUUUGAAUUCAACUGAACCGAAUGGAGAAACUGGUUGCAAGUAAAGGGUGUUAUGUGGUAAAGGCAACUGGACCCUGGACCGCUAGGGUUUCACUUCCAGCUUAUCUAGACAAGUGAAUCAUCAGAUUUCACAGCCCUCUUGGGGCUUGAAUCACACAUGUGCGGGAGGAGCUGCAUUGCUGGUGCAUGUGAAGUGUUUCAAGCUGUAAUUAUAUCCUUCACCUCCUCAGAGUGUCUAGACUAGAUUACGAAGGCUGGGGAAAAAAAAAAAUGACUGCAGCUUUCUGUGGUCCUCAAACAAGUGGGAAUUCCUGGCUGGGGCCCUUUUCCCAGAGUACACAGGAGCAAAUCCCCAGAAGCAGCAGCAGCAGCAGCAGCAGCAGCAGUAGCCUUGGCUUGAAGGAUGAAGAUUAAAAGGGAAAAGAGGUACCACUGCCUUUAAAAGUCUCCAUAGGAAAGAGACUCCAGUCAAGCACUAGCGGUAGAAAUAUGAAGCAACCCUGCUGUUCCUCUGCAGGAAAAGUUUUUAAAUAACUUCUUAUUAGUAAUAUUAAUAUUAAUGAUAAUACUGAAUCUUCAUAGCACAUUUAUUAUAUACUGAACACUAUGGUAGCAUUUUACGUACUUUGCUUCAUUUAAUUUCCACAAUCGCCCUGAGAAGUAACAUUAACCCUAUUUUUAAAAACAGAAAAAUGAUGCUUAGAAAGGCAAACAGAAUAUGGUCUUAGCUGCAGUUGAUUGAACAUUUAUUAUGUGCUUGCCAUAGGGCUGGGUAUCCCAGCAGUUCUCAAAGUGCAGUUCGUGGACCUCUCUGAGUUCCCAGCACCCUUACAGGAGAUCUACAAGGUCAAAACAAUAUUCAUAAAAACAAUAAAACAGCGUUUGCCUUUUCCACUGUAUUUACAUUUGCACUGCUGAUGGGAAAACUGCCAGCACCAUAGCACAAAUCAAGGCAGUGCACCAAACUGCACUAGUAGUCAUUGAAUUCUUCAAGGCCACCCACUUGUGGUAGAAAAAUGUGGCCAUUCAUAUAAGCAUGACUUUGAUGAAGCAGAAUCAUUUUUAAUUUUAUUAAAUUUUAACCCUUGAGCACAUGAACAUCUUUUUAAGAUUCUGCACGAGGAAACAGGAAGAACUCAUAAGGCAUGUCUAAGUACCAUGGUUGUCUCAAAGAAAAGGCACCUGCACAGUUGUUGAGUUGCAAUCUGAACUAAGCUCGGUAUUCAUAGAUCACCAUUUCUACUUGAAAGAACAAAAGAGAAAUUAUGGGUGUUCAGACUCUGGUAGUUGGCAGACAUGUUCUCAAAACUUAACUAAGUGAGCCUCUUACUUCAAAGAAAACAGCUUAGCCGGGCACAGUGGCUCACGCUUGUAAUCCCAGCACUUUUGGAGGCCUAGGUGGGUAGA